ensembl:lncRNA LINC01579 long intergenic non-protein coding RNA 1579
GGAGUCACGCGAAGUCGGAAGUACCAGCUGCGGGAAGGAGCUGCCCACUGUGCGUCUUCUCAACUUGUUGGGACAACCUUCCUGCGGAAAGGAGAGACAACCUUCCUGCAGAAAGGAGCUACCUGCUUCAGGUCUACUGAGAGCUGUUCUGCCACUCAAUAAAGCUCUUCUCCAUCUUGCUAAGCCUCCAUUUGUCCGCAAUACCUCAUCUCCCUGGACGCAGGACAAGAACUCAGGACCCGCCUGGAGGUACUAAAAGAGCUUUAACACAAACAGGGCUGAAACACGCUCCCUUGCUUGCCACAUUGCGGGUGACGAGAAGGAGAAAAGAGCUGUGUUCCUUUGAGGAUCCCAGACCUAGGGUCUCCCUGAGCCAGGGCUGUGACACUCCCUUUGGGGUUCUAUGGUUCCUGGCAUCUUCAAGCUUCCAGGCGCCACCACCUUCGUUCCCUUCAUCCAAACAGGUGCCCACAGCAGAAUCCACAUGCCGUCCAUCUGGUCCAGCCUCACGCAGAGCCACAACUGUGCUGGCGCCUGGAGCUGCCAGCCCCACUGCAGCAGCCGGACUGACAUUCAGACGUGGAGCAAGUUGGACUGCAUAGGGACCCACCAGUGAGAUGGACGCUGUCUGUAAACGAUGACUUCUAGGAAGAAAAGAAAAAAUUCUGAUUAAACAGCCAUAUUCAUGCUGGAAGUCUACACUUUGAAUUUCUUGCACUCCAAGAUUCUAACUGUUGACCAGUUAUCAGCUGACAUUCUAUAUAUGUUUGAUGAGUAGCUGAAUGGCUGAAAAGAUUAGUGCAAACUAAAGAAUUACUAAAGUCCUGAAUGUGA